GAAUUCGCCCUUAGAGUUUGAUCCUGGCUCAGGACGAACGCUGGCGGCGUGCCUAACACAUGCAAGUCGAACGGAGAUAUUUAUUUCGGUAGAUAUCUUAGUGGCGCACGGGUGAGUAACGCGUGAAUAACCUGACCCGAAGAGGGGGAUAACACCUGGAAACAAGUGCUAAUACCGCAUAAGACCACGGACCGGCAUCGGUCAGAGGUCAAAGGAGAAAUCCGCUUUGGGAGGGGUUCGCGUCCCAUUAGGUAGUUGGUGAGGUAACGGCCCACCAAGCCGACGAUGGGUAGCCGAGCUGAGAGGCUGAUCGGCCACACUGGAACUGAGACACGGUCCAGACUCCUACGGGAGGCAGCAGUGGGGAAUAUUGGGCAAUGGGCGCAAGCCUGACCCAGCAACGCCGCGUGAGGGAAGAAGGUUUUCGGAUUGUAAACCUCUGUCGCAGGGGACGAAGGAAGUGACGGUACCCUGUAAGAAAGCCCCGGCUAACUACGUGCCAGCAGCCGCGGUAAUACGUAGGGGGCGAGCGUUGUCCGGAAUUACUGGGCGUAAAGGGAGCGUAGGCGGUCGAUUAAGUUAGAUGUGAAACCCCCGGGCUUAACUUGGGGACUGCAUCUAAUACUGGUUGACUUAGAGUACAGGAGAGGGAAGCGGAAUUCCUAGUGUAGCGGUGAAAUGCGUAGAUAUUAGGAGGAACACCAGUGGCGAAGGCGGCUUUCUGGACUGACACUGACGCUGAGGCUCGAAAGCGUGGGGAGCAAACAGGAUUAGAUACCCUGGUAGUCCACGCUGUAAACGAUGAAUACUAGGUGUAGGGGGUAUCAACUCCCUCUGUGCCGCAGCAAACGCAAUAAGUAUUCCGCCUGGGGAGUACGGCCGCAAGGUUGAAACUCAAAGGAAUUGACGGGGGCCCGCACAAGCAGCGGAGCAUGUGGUUUAAUUCGACGCAACGCGAAGAACCUUACCAAGGCUUGACAUCUACUUAAAGUCAUGGAAACAUGAUGUCUCUUCGGAGGAAGUAAGACAGGUGGUGCAUGGUUGUCGUCAGCUCGUGUCGUGAGAUGUUGGGUUAAGUCCCGCAACGAGCGCAACCCUUAUCUUUAGUAGCCAGCGGUCCGGCCGGGCACUCUAGAGAGACUGCCAGGGAUAACCUGGAGGAAGGCGGGGAUGACGUCAAAUCAUCAUGCCCCUUAUGACUUGGGCUACACACGUGCUACAAUGGCGUAAACAAAGGGAAGCAAAGCUGUGAAGCCGAGCAAAUCUCAAAAAUAACGUCUCAGUUCGGACUGUAGUCUGCAACCCGACUACACGAAGCUGGAAUCGCUAGUAAUCGCAGAUCAGAAUGCUGCGGUGAAUACGUUCCCGGGUCUUGCACACACCGCCCGUCA
rnacentral:rRNA from 1 species